rnacentral:rRNA from 1 species
UACGAAGGGGGCUAGCGUUGCUCGGAAUCACUGGGCGUAAAGGGUGCGUAGGCGGGUCUUUAAGUCAGGGGUGAAAUCCUGGAGGUCAACUCCAGAACUGCCUUUGAUACUGAAGAUCUUGAGUUCGGGAGAGGUGAGUGGAACUGCGAGUGUAGAGGUGAAAUUCGUAGAUAUUCGCAAGAACACCAGUGGCGAAGGCGGCUCACUGGCCCGAUACUGACGCUGAGGCACGAAAGCGUGGGGAGCAAACAGG